rnacentral:rRNA from 1 species
GUGGGGAAUUUUGGACAAUGGGCGAAAGCCUGAUCCAGCAAUGCCGCGUGUGUGAAGAAGGCCUUCGGGUUGUAAAGCACUUUUGUCCGGAAAGAAAUCUGUCUGGCUAAUACCUAGAUGGGAUGACGGUACCGGAAGAAUAAGCACCGGCUAACUACGUGCCAGCAGCCGCGGUAAUACGUAGGGUGCGAGCGUUAAUCGGAAUUACUGGGCGUAAAGCGUGCGCAGGCGGUUUUGUAAGACCGAUGUGAAAUCCCCGGGCUUAACCUGGGAACUGCAUUGGUGACUGCAAGGCUAGAGUGCGUCAGAGGGGGGUGGAAUUCCGCGUGUAGCAGUGAAAUGCGUAGAGAUGCGGAGGAACACCGAUGGCGAAGGCAGCCCCCUGGGAUGACACUGACGCUCAUGCACGAAAGCGUGGGGAGCAAACAGGAUUAGAAACCCUUGUAGUCC